rnacentral:rRNA from 1 species
GACGAACGCUGGCGGCGUGCUUAACACAUGCAAGUCGAGAGGAGCGGCGAACGGGUGAGUAAAGCGUGAGUAACUGCCCUCCUCUCUGGGAUAACAGUUGGAAACGGCUGCUAAUACCGGAUAGUUGGGGAUGACUCGCGUCCUAUCAGCUUGUGGGUGGGGUAGCGGCCUACCAAGGCGAAGACGGGUAGCCGGCCUAGGAGGGCGACCGGCCACAUUGGGCUGAGAUACGGCCCAAACUCGUACGGGAGGCAGCAGUGGUGAGUAUUGCACAAUGAGGGAAACCCUGAUGCAGCAACGCGCGUGCGUGAUGACGGCCUUCGGGUUGGAACCCGCUUUCAGCCAUGACGCGGUAGUGGCAGAAGAAGCACCGGCUAACUACGUGCCAGCAGCCGCGGUAAUAC